rnacentral:rRNA from 1 species
AGAGUUUGAUCAUGGCUCAGAUUGAACGCUGGCGGCAGGCCUAACACAUGCAAGUCGAACGGUAACAGGAAGCAGCUUGCUGCUUUGCUGACGAGUGGCGGACGGGUGAGUAAUGUCUGGGAAACUGCCUGAUGGAGGGGGAUAACUACUGGAAACGGUAGCUAAUACCGCAUAAUGUCGCAAGACCAAAGAGGGGGACCUUCGGGCCUCUUGCCAUCGGAUGUGCCCAGAUGGGAUUAGCUAGUAGGUGGGGUAACGGCUCACCUAGGCGACGAUCCCUAGCUGGUCUGAGAGGAUGACCAGCCACACUGGAACUGAGACACGGUCCAGACUCCUACGGGAGGCAGCAGUGGGGAAUAUUGCACAAUGGGCGCAAGCCUGAUGCAGCCAUGCCGCGUGUAUGAAGAAGGCCUUCGGGUUGUAAAGUACUUUCAGCGGGGAGGAAGGGAGUAAAGUUAAUACCUUUGCUCAUUGACGUUACCCGCAGAAGAAGCACCGGCUAACUCCGUGCCAGCAGCCGCGGUAAUACGGAGGGUGCAAGCGUUAAUCGGAAUUACUGGGCGUAAAGCGCACGCAGGCGGUUUGUUAAGUCAGAUGUGAAAUCCCCGGGCUCAACCUGGGAACUGCAUCUGAUACUGGCAAGCUUGAGUCUCGUAGAGGGGGGUAGAAUUCCAGGUGUAGCGGUGAAAUGCGUAGAGAUCUGGAGGAAUACCGGUGGCGAAGGCGGCCCCCUGGACGAAGACUGACGCUCAGGUGCGAAAGCGUGGGGAGCAAACAGGAUUAGAUACCCUGGUAGUCCACGCCGUAAACGAUGUCGACUUGGAGGUUGUGCCCUUGAGGCGUGGCUUCCGGAGCUAACGCGUUAAGUCGACCGCCUGGGGAGUACGGCCGCAAGGUUAAAACUCAAAUGAAUUGACGGGGGCCCGCACAAGCGGUGGAGCAUGUGGUUUAAUUCGAUGCAACGCGAAGAACCUUACCUGGUCUUGACAUCCACGGAAGUUUUCAGAGAUGAGAAUGUGCCUUCGGGAACCGUGAGACAGGUGCUGCAUGGCUGUCGUCAGCUCGUGUUGUGAAAUGUUGGGUUAAGUCCCGCAACGAGCGCAACCCUUAUCCUUUGUUGCCAGCGGUCCGGCCGGGAACUCAAAGGAGACUGCCAGUGAUAAACUGGAGGAAGGUGGGGAUGACGUCAAGUCAUCAUGGCCCUUACGACCAGGGCUACACACGUGCUACAAUGGCGCAUACAAAGAGAAGCGACCUCGCGAGAGCAAGCGGACCUCAUAAAGUGCGUCGUAGUCCGGAUUGGAGUCUGCAACUCGACUCCAUGAAGUCGGAAUCGCUAGUAAUCGUGGAUCAGAAUGCCACGGUGAAUACGUUCCCGGGCCUUGUACACACCGCCCGUCACACCAUGGGAGUGGGUUGCAAAAGAAGUAGGUAGCUUAACCUUCGGGAGGGCGCUUACCACUUUGUGAUUCAUGACUGGGGUGAAGUCGUAACAAGGUAACCGUAGGGGAACCUGCGGUUG